rnacentral:rRNA from 1 species
GCAUCUCAGUUCGGAUUGGAGUCUGCAACUCGACUCCAUGAAGUCGGAAUCGCUAGUAAUUCCAGAUCAGCAUGCUGGGGUGAAUGCGUUCCCGGGCCUUGUACACACCGCCCGUCACACCACGAAAGUUGGUUUUUACCCGAAGCCGAUGAGCUAACAGCAAUGAGGACAAUCGUCUACGGUAGGCCCGAUGAUUGGGGUGAAGUCGUAACAAGGUAAC